UGCAUUUGCGGCAGAACUUCCACCAGAGUUGAGGCAGCGAGCCGAGAUUACUUUUUAACAGUUUUCCAAGGGAAGCCUACAGGUGGCUGCGGCGACAAGCGGCCGCUGUUCCCUAUCGGUACGGGCAGAACCCCGCCCCGAGCAGCAAGCGCCGUGCUGGGUCGGGUCCCGGUUCUCCUAGUCCGCCCGUGUGCCGGAGCCCGCAGGCCGCUCCCCGCUGCGAGGAGCCGGAGCGGGGCCGAGCCGGGGCCGCCCCGCGGGACACCGAACUCGUGGCCGCUGCCGCCCGUGGGGCUGAGGCGGCGCGAUGAGGGGAGAGCCGGCAGCGCGGCCGUACAAAACACCCCGGCACGGGCCUCAAGCAGCCGGGCCGGGCGAGCCGCCAAGCCGGGCGGAGGCGGGCCCACACCUCUGCCCCCCGCCCGGCCGCCGGCCCUCGCCUCGCCUCGCCUCGCCUCUCCUCAGCCCGGCCCUCCCCUCCUCUCCCCUCCCGUCGCGCCGGGGCGCGGUGCGAGCAGCUCCUCACCGCCCCGCUGCCUCUCCCAGCCCCCCCGGCGGAGGCAGCUCGGCGGCAGCGCCCCAGAGCGAGCACCUCCCUUCCUGCCCCCCGGGCGCUGGGUGUUGCUGUUGUUUUGCCGCCGCAGGUCGGCCGGGGUGGGCGCGGAGGGAGGGGACGGGGUGCGCUGCGAGCCGGGUGCCGGGCGCACGCCUCUGCCUGACGGCCGGGCGGGGACCGGCAGCCGGCCGGGCAGGUUUGGCGGCGGGCGGCGCCCCCGCUCCCCUCCUCUCCCGUCCCCUCCCCUCCCCGUGCUGCUGGGGAUAAUUAGUGUCUACGCGGGGCCGUCUGCCCCCGGCAGGCAGGGCGGGCGGUGCGUGCCCGGCUGUUUGUGCGCGCUGACUCGCCUCGGCCCUCGGCGGAGCCUCCACCCCGCGGGCGGGAGCCGCCCUCCCGCUCCCCUCCGUGACCCUCCCAGCGCUUCACCCCGCCGGCCCGGGGAGCCUGGCAGGGCGAGAGGCGCCGCGUCAUGUGACAGCGCGGCCCGGUGCCAGCAGCCCCGGGGGGAGGCGGGCGGAGGGCGGGAGGCAGGGCGGCACGGCGGGGCGGCAGGGCGGCUCCUCCUCGCACUCAGACCCGGAGCCACCGCGGAGGCGCCUCAGCCGCGGGACACGCCGGCCCGGAGCCGCCGCAGCCGUCCCCCCCCCAAACCCCAUCCCGGCUCUGCGGGAGCAACGCGUAAGUGUGAGGGCCGGGACCGGCUGCGGGAGGGGGAAAGUUUGCCGGCUCCGCGGAGCCCGAGGCGGGAGCGGGGAGAGCGGAGCCGGGCGGAGCGCGGGGCCGGACUCGCUCGCCCCCCGCGGCUCAGGCGGCGCCUCCUGCGUGGCGGCGUGCACGGCUCGGCUCCGCUCCGCUCCGCUCGGGGCUCCGCGCACCUGCACGGCCGCCGGGGGCGCCCGGGGACUCGGGAUCGCUCCUCGGGGGUCCGGCCCGGCUCAUCGCGGCCCCCUCGGGGGUUCGACCGCGGUGUCACCGGAUCCCGACGUGGCACCGCGCUGGGCAGCGCUGGUUAG
ensembl:lncRNA